AGCCCUAAUUUCAGAAUCUCAGAUUGCGAACCUCUCAGCUCUCCAUGACUUCUCUUCAAUAUUCAGAAGCCCCAAGCUGCAAUCUGAGAGAAGGAUUAUAGUUAAUUCUUCUCGGGGAAGGAAAUUGACAAGUAGAAUAUAUGGUGGUGAUGGUUUACAGGUUGAACAAGAAGGAAGAAGGAUCAAGUUCUCUAGUUAUGUUGUUGGAUGAGACGAUCGAGGUUACAUCAAAUUGGGUUUGGUGGCCGAGAUAACAAUUCCCAACUACACUUGCUUUGAUGCUUUACUGUGAAUAUCAUGUGUUACUCCUAAAUAGUCAUCAUCAGUCUUUAUCGUAUGCCAUUAAGACAGUCAACUUUCCUUGCUUCUCAGGGAACUGCUCAGUGAACUAAGUUAAGAGGCCUUAUUCACAAGAAGUGCAUUAUCAAUCA